AUGGAUUAUCCUUUACACAAAAGACGGUACUCCUUGACAUCGCUUGUUUUUUUUCAAGGUGAAGAUAGAGACUUUGCUUCAAAAAUAUGGGAAAGUUCUAAGUUGUAUGGUGAAACAAAUAUAAGAGAUCUAUUGGAUAAAUGUCUUAUAACUAUUGCACACAAUAGGAUAUAUAUUCAUGGUUUGAUCGAGAAAAUGUGCAAGAAAAUUGUUCAAGAACAACAUCCUAAAGACCCUAGCAAAUGGAGCAGACUAUGGAAUUCAGAUGAUAUCUAUUGUACAUUUGAAAGUGAAGAGGGGAUGGAAAAUGUUGAAACCAUUUCUCUAGACUUGUCUAGAUCAAAAGAAAAAUGGUUCACUACAAAAAUAUUUGCCCAUCUGAAGAAAGUGUUUGCCAAGAUGAAGAAACUUAGAUUGCUCAAAGUCUAUUAUAGUCUUGGCGAUGAGCAUAAAAUGUCUCUUCCUAAAGACUUUGAAUUUCCUCCUAAUUUAAACUAUCUUCAUUGGGAAGGUUUAGUGUCUUUGCCUUCAAAUUUUCAUGGAGAGAAGCUUGUUGCAAUCAACUUGAAGUCUAGCAACAUAAAAGAACUUUUGAAAGGGGAGAAGUGUCUUGCAGAAUUGAAGUUCAUUGAUCUAAGUAACUCACAACAGCUCAUCAAAAUACCAAAAUGGUCAAGGAUGCCAAAAUUGGAGAUACUUAAUCUUGGAGGUUGUGUAAACUUUUGCAAACUUCAUUCAUCUAUUGGCAAAUUUUUUGAGAUGAAAUUUUUGAGGGUGCUUAAUUUUAGAGAGAAUGGAAUUAGAGAACUCCCAAGCAGCAUUGGGUCCUUGACAUCUCUUGAAGGUCUUGGGCUCUCAAAGUGUUCAAAGUUUGAGAAAUUCCCUGAUAAUUUCUUUGUGAAUAUGAGACGUUUAAGCAUACUUGUGUUAUCUGAUAGUGGUAUUAAAGAACUCCCAACCAGUAUUGAGUGCUUAGAGGCUCUUGAAGUGCUGUUGCUUGAUAAUUGCUCAAAUUUUGAGAAGUUCCCUGAUAUCCAAAAGAAUAUGGAAAAUCUAGGUAGGCUUGAUCUAGAUGGUAGUGGUAUUAAAGAAUUAUCUUGCUUGAUAGGUCAUCUUCCCCGACUUCAAUCCUUAAAAUUGAGAAAAUGCAAAAACUUGAGGAGUGUUCCAAGCGGCAUUUUACAGUCGGAAUCCCUGCGCAUCUGCUAUCUCGAAGAUUGUUCAAAUCUAGGGAUCAUGGAGGAUAUGGAACAUUCAAAAGGCCUUUCUUUACUUGAAUCAGCUAUAACAGAGCUGCCAUCAUCAAUUGAACGUCAAAAAUGUGUGGCAAGGUUGAUCUUGAGCAAUUGUGAGAACCUUGAGACUCUUCCAAACAGCAUUGGUAUGGCGCGUGUUAGUGCACUUUUUGUUCAUAACUGUCCAAAGCUCCACAAAUUGCCCGACAAUCUGAGAAGCAUGCAGUUAAAAGAACUAAAUGUAAGUGGUUGCAAUCUGAUGGCAGGAGCAAUCCCCGAUGAUUUAUGGUGCUUGUUCUCAUUGGUAGAUUUAAAUGUGAGUGGAAACAACAUUGAUUGCAUACCUGGUGGCAUCAUUCGUCUUUCUCGGUUGCGUUACCUUAUCAUGAAUAACUGCUUGAUGCUUAAAGAAAUUCCAGAGCUUCCAUCAAGUCUAAGACAGAUAGAAGCAUAUGGUUGUCCACUCCUGGAAACUUUAUCAAGUGAUGCAAAGCAUCCACUCUGGUCCUCUCUUCACAACUGCUUAAAAUCACACAUUCAGGAUUUUGAAUGCCCAACAUACUGGAGGCAGUACUUCCAUGUACAAGUUGUUAUUCCAGGAAGUAGAGGAAUACCAGAGUGGAUAAGUCAUAAGAGUAUGGGAGAUGAAAUAACAAUAGAUCUCCCAAAGAAUUGGUAUGAAGAUAACAACUUCUUGGGAUUUGCUUUAUUCUGUCAUCAUGUUCCAGUUGAUGAUGACGAUGACGAUGAUGAUGACGAUGACGAUGACGAUGACGAUCUCGAUGGGGGUGGUAUCCAUCGAUUGUUCAUAUCCAAUGGUGAUCAAUUUGGACACGUGAGGACGACUGACCCUAUUCUGGAUUGUAGUCGAGACAUGAAUAGCACAUUAUUUGCAGAUCCAGCAUUGAUGGUGGUCUAUGUCCCUCAGAUUGCCAUUUCAAGUGAGUAUCGAUCCAAUGGGUGGAACAAGUUUGAGGCUGGCUUUUCGUCCAUUUUUAUUGAGCCUAACGGCAAAGCAAGUGGCAAAGUGGAAAGUUGUGGGAUCCAUCUCAUAUAUGACCAUGGCCAAGAUCACCCUCAACAGAGCCUUCAACUAUUCAAUGUCAAAAGAAGCCAUGAUGAUACAGAGGAUCACCCACAUGUCUAGUUUCCAGCUCCCUCCGCCAAGGCUCUCAGCUAGGCGCUCCUCUCUCUCCCAUCAACUUUGGUUUCGGUCUCUCCUCUCAUCGUUGACGAAUCACAAACCUCACCGGCGCAAUGGGCAAUGAAAUAUUCCUGUUGCCGAAAACGCUGAUUGGUCGGAGAUUAAAGCCCUAGAUCAACCAGAAUCUCACUGAAGAAACCUACAGAAAAAAGAGCAUCCUUGAGACUGCGAAAACAAGUUCGAGAAGACAUUUUGUUUAGAUGUUCUUCCUUAGCUUGAUUGAGCACACGCUGCAAUUGCGGCCUCAUCUUCUGGACCUUCCAAUCAAUGAAGCCGUCAAAGGAGAGUUUGAAAGUCUCUUCUUAGACAAGCCAAAAUUGAUGAUUUUGAGCGGAUUCGCCCACAAGAACUGAAUGAACAAAAUAGAGAAGCCUUAGUUGCUGAGAAUAAUCUGGUACUCAAUCAUCAUGUUUCAUCUUUUCUUUCUUUUUCUUAACUUUUAUUCUCACUUCAGUUGGUAAUUUUCAUUCUGGUGGAACCCUGAUAAACCAUUGAUAAUACCAAAAAGUAUAAUUGAAAUCCUGGGAAACUAUGAAUUAGUUUUUAAUGAUGGCAACAGAGGAGAGACAAUGGGGAAUUUUGUAGACUACAUCUAGGUUUCAGGCAUGAACUGCAGUUCUAUGGGCUUGGUUCUACUUGUCCUGUACUAGAGUGAAGGUUCUAUUUUUUUUUCCAAUUACUGGAUCAAAUAGGACUUAAAUAAGUGAAAUUCGGGUGUGAUAAUGGAAGCAAUAUAGUUAUUUGGUCUUUUCUUUCUUUCACUUCUGGGUCCCUGACAAUGAUAUUCAUUGAUGCAAAAAAUGAAGAUCCUUCCAGUCAAUGAUAUGGAUCUUGCAUUGCACAGUCUUGUCAACAAAUAUGACAAAAUGUCUUUCUAUUCUUGUGUUCAAUAUAAUCUGGAAGAGACACAUGUAAGUACUCCAUAUUAUGUCUUCAAAUUUCUGUGGCAAUAUCGCAGACAGUUUAGGUUGGUUUUUAGUUAUACCACAUCUAUAUGGUAUUGAAUUUGUUUUAAUAUAACAAUUGUAAGUAUAUUUAGAUGAUUUUGAGUUGUUUGUGGAUUUAUCUGAUGUAUGUAGAUACUAUGCUUGUGUUCAUGGUUGGUUUUUCUAUUUGGACAGAGUAAAAUUGCUCAUGAUUCAAGAUUUAAUUCUUAAAGUUGGAGAGUGCUUGGAGGCAAGAAGCUUAUUCUUAUUCUCUUCUUUCCUUUUUUAAUUAUUGUAAGGGUUCAAUAUUUCCUAGUGUUGUCUAAUUGUCUCCUAGGUGACUUCUUUCCCUUUCUGUAGGCAUUAUUAAAUAUAUAUAUAAGCAGUGAUUUUAAAUCUAAAACUUAAUUAUACUAUUUGCCUUUUGAGUAGUUAGGAUUAAGACUUCUUGAGUAAAAGAAGGAAUCUCUCUACUGUACUCUUUCUUCCCCACUCUUCCUUCCCCUUUAGGACAUUGCUUUGCAGAAGUAGCAUUUGUUAUCUCACUGACACUUGGUGUGAACCUGCUGCCUGCAUAGCUUGCCUAUAUAGGCAAUAUAUAGAGUGAUUUAUCACAACAGGUAGUUUCGUUUUAUAGUGAUUUCAAACACAAUAUAUUUCUGAAUUUUAUUUUACCUGCUUCCUAUUCCCAUUUACUCUUCCUUAUGAGGUAUACACCAUUUGUCUCAACUUAAAACAUGGCCUUCCAUUGAUAUACAAUAGUUUGGUUCAUUGCAGUUGGUCCAUUGAUAUAAAGUGUACCACCUUGCUGUAAAUCCAGGCAACCAUCAAAAUUUUUAGCCAUGUAAAUGAAAAUUUUGUAUAUGAUGGAUAAUUGCAUCCUUACACCUUAUUGUUUCAGUUCAUUUAUAACAUAAAACUCGGGUAUGGUCAAUGAACUCACUUCAUGAAUUUUUGGUAAUGCCCAAGCUCAAGCUUGAGUUUUAAGUCAAUUAUAUAGAGACUGAAAAAGAACACUACUGCUUAAACCUUAAAUUUGAGCUAGGAAAAGCAUGAGCUUUAAUUUUUGUUACAUUGUAGACACUCCUAAAACUUGGUAUUCUAUUUCCAAUGAAAAGAGACAAAAAGAGCACUACCAUGCUGGAGCUUACUUUUUCUUAAUAACUGGACUCACACACAAGCUGCUUUUUUCGCCCUAAAUUCUGUAUAUUUAAUUAUCAUGCAACAAGGCCAGAAAUUACAAAGUAAUUCCAACCAUGGUUGUUUUUCCUUAUUCAUCUUCUCACAUUUUCAUUUUCGACCCAAAAUAGCUAGAGAUAUUAUUUUCUUUGAUUGCUUUCUCUUAUAUCGGGUUCCAAAUGGUAUGAAAAAACUUCUAGGCUUGCAAAUACUUCUCUAAAAUCUAAUUUAUAGUACUAUUGCUGACUUGCUUUUGAACUAUUCUUUCCCCUUCAUUUUCCAAUAUUAUAUAUUCUCUCUCUCUCUCUCUCUUUUUUUUUUUUUCUUUUUGAUAAGAACAAAACAACUCCUUCACAAUAUGAGCCAACUGAUGUUCCAUUUUCUUUCAAAAAUGGUUCCCUUAACAGCCAUGCAAAUUUUCUGCAUAAAAUAGACGAUUUUCUUCAAUAUUCAUUAGAAAGGUGAACUCCGGUGAAGUUUACAUAUAAGGUGUGAUCAUAUUAUGAACUAAUUCUCUUUUAUCUUUAUUUGCUAUAUUCUUAUUGGCCUUCACUUUUAACUUCUGUUUAUCUUUUUUUUCUUCUGGAUUACAACCCCAAAAAUCUGCCAACCUGCCUACAAAAGAAAAGAAUUGUUUAGUGGAGCACAUUGUGUGAAGUUCUAUAUUUGCUAAUAAGUUUACUUCUUGUUCUUGUUCUGACUAGGUAAAAAGGGAAAAAGAAAAACAAUUACUGAGGCAGUUUUUUGUGGAGAUUCUGGACAAGUGCCUCACUCUAGAAUGAUUGAUUUGCUUCCUAGCUUCUUGCAAAAUUGCAUUUCCUCUUUUGAAGUUGAUGGUAGUUUAUAUCCUGCAACCUUUUAUAGUUAAGGGCGAAGAACUAUAAUUGUUAGUAAUAAAAAGAUAACAUGCAGAAACAGGAAAAUCAGCUCAAACUAGCCCUACUAGCUCAAAUCCCAGUCCUUAGCCCAUUAUUGACUCAUAUGAUAGGCUUACAUGAUGUAUCUACCUGCUACCUCAGACCUCAAUGUUUGUUAUACUAAUGGGGUGCUUGUACUUAGACAAAUGGAGUUGCUACUGUAGAAGCACGGUGGCUCAGACUGGUCUCAGAAACAACCCAUCUCAGGAUCAAUUACCAAAGAGGAGGAAGAAGCAGUGGAGACCCUGUACACAUUAGUAGGAAUGUUCCCCAACAGUGAUAAGACGGACAAUAAGGGUGAAUUGGUUGGCGAAUCAUCAGAAUCAAAGCAUUCAACUUUGCCAGAGGCGAGGGAGAGCCCUGCACCCACAUUAGUUUCAUACUACCAAAGACAUACUGUCAAAGAUAGUACAAAAAUGCCAAAAUUGAUGAUUUUGAGCGGCUUCGCCCAGAAGAACUGAAUCAACAAAAUAUAGAAGCCUUAGUUGCUGAGAACAAUCUGGAGCGGGUCAAGGAAAGGUCAGUGCACUCCAAGGAAACCCCACAGUUCAUGUCAGGUGCUCAGUCAUUGGAGAAUAUCACAAGUAAAGGUACUGCAGAAACUGGAAGUGCAGUUUCCUUUAGUGAUGAUGAAGACCUCAGCCAGUUAUCUGGGUCAAAAUCUACCACUAAGGGCAGAAGUAGUUCAUCAGCAACUUUUAAGUACUCCCAUGAUGCUUCUGAACAUGGUAAAGAUGUACAGUUGAGGGAAAUGCCAUCCUUUGCAUUGGGGAGAUUGGCAUAGACAAAUGGAGUUGCUACUGUAGAAGCAUGGUGACUCAGACUGGUCUCAGAAACAACCCAUCUCAGGAUCAAUUACCAAAGAGGAGGAAGAAGCAGUGGAGACCCUGUACACAUUGGUAGGAAUGUUCCCCAACAGUGAUAAGACGGACAAUAAGGGUGAAUUGGUUGGCGAAUCAUCAGAAUCAAAGCAUUCAACUUUGCCAGAGGCGAGGGAGAGCCCUGCACCCACAUUAGUUUCAUACUACCAAAGACAUACUGUCAAAGAUAGUACAAAAAUGGUAUACAUCUUUUCCUUGAACGGAUUUUCCCAUUUCAUAAUUUUUUUGGUCAUUGCUUAGAAUGCAGAACAUAGCUCUUGCAUCUACUUCUGCAUAUUAAUAUUCUCAUCAUGCCUUAAUCUUUGAUUUUUGGUUGGAAGAUCUGGUAUUAUGGCCAGGCUUGUCAUCAACAGGGUUGCUUGGGACAGCAAUUCAUGGCCCUUCCUUGCAUUCUUCUUCUAGAACUCAAGCUUGGCUAGAUAAUGCUACUGGCACUACAUGACCUAGUUCAUUUGGAAAUGGUGUCUCAACCGAAAAGGUUUCUAGAGUUACAGUGCAUAAAAAGCAAUCAUGGAAAAGAUGUGCAGCUCAUAUGUUCACAUAAGUUGUCUUAUUUGGGAUUUAAAAAAUUCAGAGAGAAAGGAAAGGAUUUCAAUGCAGCGUAACCAAUUGAGAACAGAUGAAGAAUCAAAGGAAGUAGUUUCUCUGGCAGGCAACAAUCCCAGUGGCCUGAGAAAUGGAUUGAAUGGAGUUGUUUCUGCUAACAGCAUAGGUGGUUCAGCCAUGGAGAAGAAUUCAAUUGAAGCUAGAAAAGGUAUUUUUCGACCGCAGGGGCUCCAUCAAGAUCAGCAGUGGGCUCCUGCAUCUGGGACCUACACUUCUCUUUGUCUAAGUACAGUAGCAACUCCAUUUGUCUAAUGCUGGUUCUCCUGGAAAUAAUCUUACUCUAGUUGAUCCCUGCCCUUAUGAAAGGAACAAUAGUCAUGUGGAUGCUCAAUUGUAUUUGAUUUUGUUUGGUUGUGUUUUAAGAUAGAAUUUGAUUGUAUAAGGAUAAGUGAAUAAGGCAUGUUCUAAGUUCAAUGUUUAGGUUAUGUUUUUUACAAAUGAAAACUUGACCAAUAAUCUCUCAA